AAGGCGAUCUCAAGAUGACAUCUAGAACACCCAAAAAUUUUUGUGAUGGUAUUCAGUGCUUUAAGAAAUCCGUUAAUUUCUUGAAACUGCUUUGUGCUCCAAUAGCUGUAAAUAUAAACAAUUUAUGUUUGUUAUUAUAACACUAAGAUCUAGCCUUGUCAAGCAAUUGAAGAACAAACAUAUGUAUAAACAUUGAAAUGCUCAAUACCUUAACAAUUCACUCAUUUCAUGAAAAUAUAUAUAUCUAAUGUUUAUUUCAUAUGUUUAUUGAUAGAUAGAUUCGAUCACCAAUGAGCUUGCUUUAAAUCUAACUAUUUUAUAUCCCGAACCCAUUGAAAAUUGUUCAUAAGGAUAUAGUGGUUUUGUGGAAAUGUAUGUAAAAGGCAGAAGGACGCGUCUCCCGUCCUAUAAUAUCAGGACAACGUGCUAAGUCGACCUAUCUGUUUCCGUCUGUGUGAAUACGAAGAUCUAGGAAACGACCUUAGUGAAAUUAAAAAUACAUAUUGGCGUAUACCAAAUAGCUGUAUACACCAAACUUGGAAUGCAGGUUCUUGUAUAGUAUACGCACAUUCAAAAUAUUUCUCGUUUUUUGAUAGCUCCCUCAUAUUUAUACCUUAAAGUAUUUACAAAAAUCGGACUAUAAACACCAAUAAUAUUCCAGAAUAUAUUUCCAUAGUGUGGAGCAAUGUGAACAAUAACAGCCGCAGAGUAGACUGCGUGCUUGUGUUUGUUUGUAUUGUGUAAACAGGUACAUAUCUAUGAAAAGGUAUCUAGCGUUGGAUUUAGGGAAUCUUUUAGUUGGGCAGUUCCGAAAGGAGUGCUGCUGACUAUUUUCAAAUAAAUGUUAUUUGCAAGUAAUAUAAAUCUCUAGAUUUUAUAGUAUCUUAGAUAGACAGCUGUUAAGGAAAAAAGGAAUAUGGCAAUAUAAGAAUGUACACUUGUUGGAUUCGGAGAAGCACCCAUCUGCCUAUUACCAAAGACAAUACAAACACUAAGAUGAGUAACGCCAUACAACAAAAUGCUACUACGCAGCUUGAUUUUUUGAAAAUUAAGAACGAAAACGCUAUCAGUAUCAUUGCGCUCUCACAGCCGAAAGAGCGGAAAGUCUAAAAAUAGAAUGUACUCUCAGCUUCGGCUCUAUGAGGGCCGUGCAAACAAUUAUGUUUUUAUGUGUGUGAAUAUACAUACACAACAACAUAUUUGAAUGUAUUGGUUUUUACUGCUCUGGCUUUCGCUGGUAAAGAAAUAAAUGUUGUUAGUGUUCUACCGCUGAUCAUGACCUAUCCCAAAUUUGCAUUCACAUAUGAAUGCAUGUUGUGUACUGAGGUUGGCUCCGUAGAAAAGCUAUAUUUUUAAGUCGAUGCAAAUAUUUAUAUAAUUUCUUUAAAUUAAAUUAUUUAUUAAAUUAUUUUAAUUUUUAAGUAAUAAAAAAUAAUAAAUCAUAAUUCAUAUUUAUUUAUACAAAAAUUUAUUUGAUAUAGUCUAUUUUUUAUUUUUUUGGACUCUUUUAUUUCUUCAUUGGGGAAUAAAAAUAAUAAUAAAUAAUUAAUAGUUUAAUUUCAAGAAAUUAUUUAAAUAUUAGCAUCGACUUAAAAAUACAGAUUUUCUACCGAGCAUACCUCAGUACACAAUAUGCAUUCAUAUGUGAAUGCAAAUUUGGGAUAGGUCAUGAUCAGCGCUAGAAAACUAACAAAAUUAAUUUCUUGCCAGCAAAAGACAGAGCAGUGAAUAACAACACAUACAUAUAUAAAUAUUUUGAUGUGUGUACUUAUGAAUGCAUAAUUCACGCAUACAAACAUAUGUAUGUAGGUGCCAAAAACAAAAGUAAAAUCAAUCUAUGUGUGCUAUUUUGUGAACAUAGUUAUCGCACAAGAUGCGCUUUGUGAAAAAAUUAUUUUAUUCCUAAAUUUUCCUGUAAAAUUUAUCGUUAGUAUCUAGCGUAAUGUAUCAUUUAAAUAAAGCAUGCACUUCACGGAUAUGCGUCGAUCGUAGGAAGCCGCGCCUUCGGUAUUCAUUCGUCUAGCUUUUGGAGAGCGAACAGCCUACGGCUAGCAUGAAAGACCAGAUGAGAAGCCAGACUAGAAAUUUUACGUCGCAUUCAGAUGUAUGGGCGUUAAUCAUCUUAGUGUUUAUAUUGUCUCUGAUAUUACUUAUAUUUAUGUAACUUCAUUGUGUGUGUACAUUUUUUACUAAUUAAAGAACGUUAUAUUAUUUUUUUUCGAUCGAUUUAAUUGAUGUAAUAUCAUCAGACAAUAUACUUAAAUAUCUGACUGCGGAUUCUUGAAUUAAAUAUAUUUAGGUUGUAUUAAAAUUUAUUUUAAUUAAUUUUAGUUUUGAAUGCACAUUAAUUCACUCAAUUAUUUUGAAACUGUCGCCAAUUUUCAUUUAUUUUAUUUUGUUAUGUUACUAUGUAGAGGUUAUAAAUAAUUGUCAAUUGUUUGCAAUUAAUUAAACAUAAUAGGCCUGUAGUUAUAUUUAUUGAUUAAUAUUGUGUAAGCCAAAUACUACAAAUUUAAACGAAUGUAUAUUAAAAAUGUAACACAUAUUGGUGUUCACUUAUCAUCGCAGCGUUGCAUAUUUGGAAGUCUGCAAUACCCCGCGACAGCACCUUCACUGAAAAAUUUUUUGGACCUAGACUAUAAUAUUUGUUGUUGUUAUAAAUGUUUAUUGUAUUAAAUCAAAAUUAGCAUACAUUUUUGUUACAACACAGUUGGCUUAGGUGAUAUUUCGCCAAGCCUGGUUGUUAAACUGGUCAUAAACUAUAAAUAUCAUGGCAAAGCUGCAACACUAGAGAUGCAAAACACAGGAAAAAUCCUAUUACCUCAAUUGAUAUUUGAUAAAUUAAGGUAUGUUUUAGUGCUAAAAUUGAGGAAACACCUGCUGUAUCUGUGCGAAAUUAAUCUACAGAUGCCAAAAACAUGAAAAUAUGCAAGUAAAUAACAUGACGGGCUUUACACACCUUUAACAAGUUUAAUUUGAAGAAUAGGUCUGAUUUCUGUCACUCCCGUAAUGUAAUUCUCAAAUCAGCAAUUUAAACUGACAUUCAAUAUACAAUCAGAAUUUUUCACAAAAAAAAAACAAUUUAUUUGCUGUUCACUUUGAAGGUAUUGCAGCCUUAAAAAGCUUCAA